CCUACGGGUGGCUGCAGUGAGGAAUAUUGGUCAAUGGCCGUAAGGCUGAACCAGCCAAGUCGCGUGAAGGAAGAAGGAUCUAUGGGUUGUAAACUUCUUUUAUAGGGGAACAAAGGUAGACACGUGUGGAGAGUUGCGUGUACCCGAUGAAUAAGCAUCGGCUAACUCCGUGCCAGCAGCCGCGGUAAUACGGAGGAUGCGAGCGUUAUCCGGAUUUAUUGGGUUUAAAGGGUGCGUAGGUUGUUUUUUAAGUCAGCGGUGAAAGUUUUUGGCUCCACCAUAAAAUUGCCGUUGAAACUGGUUGACUUGAUUGUGUUUGAGGUAGGCGGAAUGCGUUGUGUAGCGGU
rnacentral:rRNA from 1 species